CAUUUCUUUACUAAUACUAAUAACUCAAACACAAUAUAUACUACAAUCAAAUACAAUAAAAUAGCUGCAGCCUGCAUAUUUUUCUUUUGCACUGGGUUUCUGGUAGCAAAAUAUUUUGAUACAUGUUCCCUGUUGCAUGAAUGGUGGCUGAUUCAUAUUUCUCACUAUAAAUCUUAAUCAAGGGGACUGACAAAAUGAUGUGUGAAAAGCUGUCUAUCCAGACAUCAAGAUAAGGAAAGCAGUCCGCUCUGAUAACCAGUGGGGGUACCACUUUCUAAUUAAAUGCACAAUAUUAGAAAAAAUACUUAAAGAUUGUCCAAG